rnacentral:rRNA from 1 species
UACGUAGGGGGCAAGCGUUGUCCGGAGUUACUGGGCGUAAAGCGCACGCAGGCGGUCUCUUAAGUUUGGAGUGACAGUUGGUGGCUUAACUGCCAAAGUGCUUCGAAAACUGAGAGACUUGAGGGCUUCAGAGGGACACGGAAUUCCGGGUGGAGUGGUGAAAUGCGUAGAGAUCCGGAGGAACACCAGAGGCGAAGGCGGUUAGCUGGGCAAUUGCUGACACUGAGGCGCGACAGCGUGGGGAGCAAACAGG